CCUACGGGAGGCAGCAGUGGGGAAUAUUGCGCAAUGGGCGAAAGCCUGACGCAGCGACGCCGCGUGAGGGAUGAAGGUCUUCGGAUCGUAAACCUCUGUCAGCAGGGAAGAACGGUCACUGUGCUAAUCAGCAGUGAAUUGACGGUACCUGCAAAGGAAGCACCGGCUAACUCCGUGCCAGCAGCCGCGGUAAUACGGAGGGUGCGCGCGUUAAUCGGAAUUACUGGGCGUAAAGCGCUCGUAGGCGGUAUGGCAAGUCAAGGGUGAAAUCCCCGCGCUCAACGUGGGAACUGCCUUUGAAACUGGCAAACUGGAGUGUGUGAGAGGAUAGUGGAAUUCCAGGUGUAGGAGUGAAAGCCGUAGAUAUCUGGAGGAACAUCAGUGGCGAAGGCGACUAUCUGGCACAUAACUGACGCUGAGGAGCGAAAGCGUGGGUAGCAAACAGGAUUAGAUACCCGGGUAGUC
rnacentral:rRNA from 1 species